rnacentral:rRNA from 1 species
UAGGGAAUCUUCGGCAAUGGGGGGAACCCUGACCGAGCAACGCCGCGUGAGUGAAGAAGGUUUUCGGAUCGUAAAGCUCUGUUGUUAAGGAAGAACGAGUGUGAGAAUGGAAAGUUCAUGCUGUGACGGUACUUAACCAGAAAGGGACGGCUAACUACGUGCCAGCAGCCGUGGUAAUACGUAGGUCCCGAGCGUUGUCCGGAUUUAUUGGGCGUAAAGCGAGCGCAGGCGGUUAGAAAAGUCUGAAGUGAAAGGCAGUGGCUCAACCAUUGUAGGCUAUGGAAACUGUUUAACUUGAGUGCAGAAGGGGAGAGUGGAAUUCCAUGUGUAGCGGUGAAAUGCGUAGAUAUAAGGAGGGACACCGGUGGCGAAAGCGGAUCUCUGGUCUGUAACUGACGCUGAGGCUCGAAAGCGUGGGGAGCGAACAGG